rnacentral:rRNA from 1 species
GAUGAACGCUGGCGGCGUGCCUAAUACAUGCAAGUCGAGCGAACUGAUUAGAAGCUUGCUUCUAUGACGUUAGCGGCGGACGGGUGAGUAACACGUGGGCAACCUGCCUGUAAGACUGGGAUAACUUCGGGAAACCGAAGCUAAUACCGGAUAGGAUCUUCUCCUUCAUGGGAGAUGAUUGAAAGAUGGUUUCGGCUAUCACUUACAGAUGGGCCAGCGGUGCAUUAGCUAGUUGGUGAGGUAGCGGCUCACCAAGGCAACGAUGCAUAGCCGACCUGGGAGGGUGAUCGGCCACACUGGGACUGAGACACGGCCCAGACUCCUACGGGAGGCAGCAGUAGGGAAUCUUCCGCAAUGGACGAAAGUCUGACGGAGCAACGCCGCGUGAGUGAUGAAGGCUUUCGGGUCGUAAAACUCUGUUGUUAGGGAAGAACAAGUACGAGAGUAACUGCUCGUACCUUGACGGUACCUAACCAGAAAGCCACGGCUAACUACGUGCCAGCCGCCGCAGUAAAAC